AACGAACGCUGGCGGCAUGCCUAACACAUGCAAGUCGAACGAACCCUUCGGGGUUAGUGGCGCACGGGUGCGUAACGCGUGGGAAUCUGCCCUUUGCUUCGGAAUAACUCAGGGAAACUUGUGCUAAUACCGGAUGAUGUCUUCGGACCAAAGAUUUAUCGGCAAGGGAUGAGCCCGCGUAGGAUUAGGUAGUUGGUGGGGUAAAGGCCUACCAAGCCGACGAUCCUUAGCUGGUCUGAGAGGAUGAUCAGCCACACUGGGACUGAGACACGGCCCAGACUCCUACGGGAGGCAGCAGUGGGGAAUAUUGGACACUGGGCGCAAGCCUGACCCAGCAAUGCGGCGUGAGAGAGGAAGGGCCUCGGGUCGUAAAGCUCUUUUACCAGGGAUGAUAAUGACAGUACCUGGAGAAUAAGCUCCGGCUAACUACGUG
rnacentral:rRNA from 1 species